rnacentral:rRNA from 1 species
GACGAACGCUGGCGGCGUGCCUAAUACAUGCAAGUUGAACGCAACAAAGACACCAGAGCUUGCUCUACCGUUUUUGUUGAGUAGCGAACGGGUGAGUAACGCGUGGGUAACCUGCCUUAUAGCGGGGGAUAACUAUUGGAAACGAUAGCUAAUACCGCAUAACAAUAGAGAUUGCAUAAUCUUUAUUUGAAAGUGCCAACUGGUACACUAUGAGAUGGACCCGCGUUGUAUUAGCUAGUUGGUAGUGUAAUGGACUACCAAGGCGAUGAUACAUAGCGACCUGAGAGGGUGAUCGGCCACAUUGGGACUGAGACACGGGCCCAAAACUCCUACGGGAGGCAGCAGUUAGGGGAAUCUUUCGGGCAAAUGGACGAAAGUCUGACCGAGC